UACGGAGGGGGCUAGCGUUGUUCGGAAUUACUGGGCGUAAAGCGCGCGUAGGCGGCUUUGUAAGUUAGAGGUGAAAGCCCAGGGCUCAACCCUGGAAUUGCCUUUAAGACUGCAUCGCUUGAACAUCGGAGAGGUAAGUGGAAUUCCGAGUGUAGAGGUGAAAUGCGUAGAUAUUGGGAGGAACACCAGUGGCGAAGGCGGCUCACUGGACUGGUACUGACGCUGAGGCGCGAAAGCGUGGGGAGCAAACGGG
rnacentral:rRNA from 1 species